CAAAAAACAAAAAAAAAAACAAAAAAUUAAAAAAAAAUACAAAAGAAAACAUUAGUCAGCAGCCAACGCUUCUUCACUCUAUUCCCCAAAAACCCCCCAAAUUGACUCUGUAGUUCCUCUCCAAAACCAUAUCCUUCCUUCACUUCACAACGUCGACCAAACAACGCCAGACUCAUCUCCACCUCCGGUGGCAUCUCACAACAGGUUACCUUUUCCCAAAUUUGUGCAUUUUCGAAGCCAGUGUUGAAAACCCUCGAUUAAGUCGAAUUCACAGCAUGUGUUCCCUGAACAUACAAUAAUUGCAGCAUGCAUACAGAGAGACUAGAAAUGUUUGACGUCCAUAAGCACCACUAAGUUUAAGAGCUAAUUAAACAGGAAAUCUGCAAAUAUUCCACUUCAAUACUAAUCAGAAAUUGAAGAAUCCAUACAGAAACAAAAGGAAAAGGCCAAUCUUGUCAAGUGAAGUUGGACUUCUAGAUAAUAAAUUAUCACAUAGUUCCUAGAUCACAUCGAAAUGGAAAUUACAACAAUUUCAUUCAGUCUCAAAAUCCAGAUAUUCCUGUCUAUAUGCAUUGCAUCACACGAUAUUGACUCAGUACCAAAAUGCUUAGCCAAUGGUUUGAACAAGUCCUUCAUUUCCAUAAUGCUUGGCAUCAGCAGCAGCCUGUCAAAAUGAAGAAGUUCUUCAUCGUCUCGGUUCCAAAAUUCAACAACAUUCUCAUUUUCGGAAUCAGCCAAAAUAUUAUCAUUCAUAUCUUCCAUAAUUUAUUUUUCUGGGAUAAAAUAAUCAAUAUCGUUAAGCGAAACUUAAACUAAUCACACUACAGUAACACACAUUAAAAAAAAAAAUUUCAUAUACAUAUUAACCCAUUACAUUUCUGCCAAAAAAUCACAUAUUGAUAAAAAUUAAUCACAAAAAAUUAAUCACAUUGUCAAUACAAAACAAGAAUAUCGAUAAUACCUUCCUAUGCAAUGAGCCUCUAAAAGACAUGGAGAUGGAGAUUAAUGGAUUGACUAACUAAGUCACAGCUUGGAGGGUUUUUUGCCUUUUGAACCGUUGCCGAAAGUUUAUCUCGCGUGAGAAAUAGUUAUAGGUGGAGAAGAUAUCUUGGUGGAUCCCAUUCGCCGGAGGAAUUGUUGGAUUUCACGAUUCGAUGAAAUGGGUGGAAUGAGGGCGGUUGCCGGUAGUUCGGUUCAGUGGAAAGUAGUUGUGUUGUCUUUUGACUUGUAAAUUGAUAACUGUAAUUUAUGCACUUAUUUAAGCCACAUCUAUUAAACUUUUACGUCGUCGAAUUAUUAAUUUUUAUCUAACUUAGGUUUAUUUUCAUUUUUUUUUUUAGUGAC
rnacentral:lncRNA from 1 species